AUACGUAGGGAGCAAGCGUUGUCCGGAAUUACUGGGCGUAAAGGGUGCGUAGGCGGCGCGUUAAGUCAGAUGUGAAAUACCCGUGCUUAACAUGGGGGGUGCAUCUGAUACUGGCGUGCUUGAGUGCAGGAGAGGAAAGUGGAAUUCCUGGUGUAGCGGUGAAAUGCGUAGAUAUCAGGAAGAAUACCAGUGGCGAAGGCGGUUUGCUGGCUGCAUACUGACGCUGAAGCGCGAAAGCCAGGGGAGCAAACGGGAUUAGAUACCCCGGUAGUCCUGGCAGUAAACGAUGUAUGCUGGGUGUGAGACUAGCGAUAGUUUCGUGCCGAAGUUAACGCGAUAAGCAUACCGCCUGGGGAGUACGGUCGCAAGAUUGAAACUCAAAUGAAUUGACGGGG
rnacentral:rRNA from 1 species